rnacentral:lncRNA from 1 species
UAACAGCAACAAACAAGUCUAUAUAUAGCUACCCCCAAAUCAUCUAUUCUACAAGCAAGCACCACAUAAUAAACCGUAACCACUUGUCGAGCAAGGAAAUAAACCAUGGGACAACAACAUUUUUUGCACAUAGGAAGUGAACAACCCUAGCAUGACAUAACCUUGGCUAGGUAGACAACCACGACUUAGAGCAACCGGAGGUGAAGAACGGAGCAGGGAAAGGAGCUCAAUAUUGGGGGUUUGUAGCCGAUGUCAUCAUCCACCGUUGUCACACGGUGUAGGAGGAUACCUCAGGAAGCGCCCAUUCCAUCGCAGACUUUGCUGCAUCAAAGCAAUAGUAAGUUAGUCACUCCGGCAGGCUUGAGUAAUAAACCAAUUGAUAGGCUGAUUCAUUCAUAUAAAAAAUCAUUGAGCAAAAUAAAUAUCAGACCAGACAAAAUUACAUAUUCACUAGAUCAUGAUUGACGCGCUUUGCCACGCCCGUCUAUUUUUUCAAUAAAAUGAUAGUAAUUUUUACAAAUAUAUAGACAUGGAAGAACUGAAUUCCUAUUUCCCGUGAAAGAACUUCUGCACUAUUUUUUUCCUGAGAGCACACAAAAGUAGGUCAUUUAUCAUUUUUCCUAAUUGUCAUCUUCUAUAUUUUCAGGUCAUAUUGGUGAUCCUCUUAGUUUCAUGUCUACGUAUCGUAAACCUUGCAAUAAAAUUGGAUCAUAAAUCUACAAUGUAAGCAUUUUCAGACCACCCACCAAAAGGUAAACUAUAGAAGAAAGGUAUGUACUAAAAAGUCCUCGAGAAUCUGAUAGCAACAAAUCAUAAUCAUAGCCACUAAUUGUGUAUUAAAGAAUGUAGCGCACACACAAAAGAUUUGCGAUAAGCAUUUAUUACUACACUUAUGGUGACACUGCUAAUGGGUACAAUAAGGCAGUAAUAGUAGUGAAAUGCAAAUAUGGUUAUAUCUAAGAAAAAAAGUGUCAGAAUAUGUCAUGGCCAAACUAAAAUAUAUCUGCAUAUCGCUCCAUGAUUUAUCGUUUCCAUAUUUAGAAAAUAGUGCAUUAUGUUCUUAUAAAUGCAAAGGAACCAUGAGUACCUUGGACACACCUUCUCAUGAUUGAGCCUCCCUCCUUGUCAUUAAUGUUUUCUUUGUUGCAGAGCUCUUGCACAAAUGACCAAAUUUCCACGGUGCUAUGUAAAAAAAAUUGAAGCCACCAUAUAAAUAGUGACACUCCCAAUGAAUGAAAAAAAUGUUUAAAAGGUUCAUUUUCAUGUAGAACGAACUAAGAUUUAAACUUUCUUCUUUUUUCAAUAAAAAUGUAAACAAUCAAGAUGUAGUUGAUUAUGUGAUCUUAAGAUUCAGUGAACCGCAUAUGUGAUCUUAAUAUUAAGUGAACUGCAUAGGUAGAUCACAUAACCAAUGGGUUCAACCCAUUUUUUAAGAAAUAAUGAGGCGAGGCUAAGCUGCUGAAAAGAAUUAAGAAAAAAAGGUUUAGGUUUCACAAAGGUUCUAAACUGAAAGAGAAAUAAUGAGUAAUAGUUAAAAAUGCUUCAAUGGUCUUGGUGUGAAGAACCGCACCAGAAACAUAUCAUUAGCAUACAUAGAAAUUACAUGUUGAUAGGUCAGGAGUUCCAUCUUUUCUCCUUUUCUAAGUACUGCCUGCCCUCAAGGACAUGCUCAAAUAUCCUUUACAAUUUGCAGUUUAGUAUAAUUUCAUGAUUAAAUUUUUGUAGUAACUAACAUAUUCUACGAGAGGAAAAAAAUCUGAAGGAAAUACGGAGACACGGUCACACAACAAUGAAUAGCACCAUGAACUGAAUGUAUCAAAAACAGUAAUGAUGACGAGUAGGCGCCAACAAUUUGCAAUACUUAUUGCCCCAUGAACUGUAUGUAUAAAAAACAAUAAGGAUGAUCCGUAGGCAUCAAGAAUUUUCAUUAAAAAUCCAUGAUAUUGAUGCAUAUAUCACAGGUCCCAAGUAUUAGGUUCAACUAAGAUUCAAAUUCCAGUAGAUUUUUGCACUUCUGUUCCAAUGAGCAAACGGAGAACAUAUAAGGUAUAUACUAAAACGAAGCUUAGUUGUAGCUGCUCUUUCGAAACUCCACAAGUAAUCAACUUCUGCAUGGGGUGACCCAACGCAACUACAUUAGCAUAGUUGAAAUAUUUUGCACACACUUGUACUACCUUACUGAAUCAUUGAAAUGGCUCAUAUCAUCGCAUAUAUAGAGAGGGAAGUACACACGUUUUUUAAGUCGGCCAACGGCACAACUGAUGCUGAAAAUUUGUUCAUCGAUAACAAAUAUUCCAAAUGUCCUAUUACAUCGUCCAAUAAAUAUGGCCAUCGAAUCCACGAACAGAAUCCCGAGUCGUCCCAAUGAUUCACGCUCGCAGAACCGACUGGAUUAGCAAACCAACCAAUCCCCACAGGAACAAGAGAAAAAUAGAGGAGCGCUCACACGGAGGCAACCGCCGCCAAGGGUGGUUAGAUCAAAGCAGAUGAGAAAGAGAAAUACAGAGAAGAUACACACCUGUUGGACGCACUCCAUGGGUGAUGGGGUUAUAGUCCUAGGGUAGGGUCAUAGGCCUGUCAUGUAGGUCCUACCCAAGGACUACCCCUCACAAAGGACAAGGCCCUUAGUCAGUUCCGACUGAAUUAAGGAGUCCCCAUCAUCUAGUCGGUAACAGGUCCUCGACCAUCCAGUCAGAGAUUAACAUUCGGAGGAUAUCAAGCUAACCGACUGGAUACCACUCGGUACAUCGUAACCCCCCUGGAGGAAACGGUCGUACGUUUCCAGGUGCAUUUAUUAGCAUUUAGGGCGUACGUUACCUGUAAUGUACACAUUCAAUCCCCACUACUCCACCCCUGUACCGGAACCAUUGUGGAGGGGAGCGCACUCUAUAUAAGCCACCCUCCCCCACUGGUAGAGGGGUUAGCAACUCAUUGUAUUCUAUAUUUCCACUCGACAACAAGCUCCCUGAGCAAUGAGACGUAGGGCUAUUACCUCCACCGCAGAGGGGCCUGAACUCAUACAACCUCGCCGUAGCUAAGGCGCUGCCCAUCCUUUUCGUACCCUACACAUCUACUGUCAAGCUUAUACCCACGACAGUUGGCGCCCACCUUGGGGCAGGCGUCUAAGCGACUUCCGGCGAGUUUGCGACUACUUCCUUUCGUCAUGUCGUCCGAUGGAGAUUCGAGCAUGGCUCACCAGAUCUUCUUCGGCGCUCUCUCCUUCAUCGUCGACGAUUCGGCGUGGCUUCAGGAUGCGCCCCUCGACGUCGAGGCGCUUCCCCGUCGCGGGGCUACGCACUUCUGUGCCGGCGCCCGCGGCAUUCUUCUUCUCCAGCAGUCGGCUCCGGUGUCAACCUACACCGCCGUCACGCGCCGCAUCAAGCAGUACCGCCGUCCGUGGCUCCAGCGUUGGGUGCAACACGCCCAGGCGCGCCAGAACGCAUCUUCACAAGUGGCGGUUCUAGAGUCAGUUGUGGUUGCUCCGCCGUCCCAGCGCUCGGGCUCGGUUCCGACUGAUUUUCCUUCCGAGUACGCGGGUCGCGGGCCUGCAGCAGAAGUACACAUGGCCAAUUCCCAUGAAGAUCCCCGUCAAGCUAGCCGGAACGAGCACGAGAUCGGCGAAGCGUCCGGCGCACGUCGUCCACCUCGCCGAUCUGCCAGUCGGCACACUCGGCGGAGCAACGUGGAGCUGUUCCGCACACCCCUCCUCAACUUGGUUGCAGCUGCCAAGAUAGCCGAUUCCCUCCAGCCCACUGAUUCACAGGCUGGUAGAGGGAUCGAGCAGAUCCGAGCCCUAUUGCACACGGCGCAGCAGCAGAAUUCGGCGGUCUCCCAGUCGCACAACAGGAUCUAUAAUAGUUAUGUUCAUGUGAAUACGCAUCGGUCGGUUCACAGCCCAGGUUCCCAUCAGCGGCACAGAGGAGGCAGCCGUUCCAUAAAUCACGAAGAUCGCCGCCGUUCACGCACCCCUCCGCGGGGUGGGCCCUACGGGCCCCGACCUCAUGAUGAUCGGCGUUCAGUCGGUGACACUUACGACCCAAGGCCCGACGCAAGAGGGCAUAUCACCCAGCGGAGGGUCGACAGGGUCAGGCCCACCGCGAUAGUCGCGAUAUCGACCGUCCGAGUGGAAGCAGGGCCACCGUUUCUGGUCCCGAGUGUUUCAGUCGAGCCAUCCGUUCGGCUGACAUCCCUCCCAACUUCCGAUUGGCGACGGGAAUUAGCAAGUUCACAGGAGAGUCCAAGCCAGAAACGUGGCUGGAUGACUACCGAGUGGCGGUCCAGAUCGGAGGAGGGGACGACCAUGUCGCCAUGAAGCACCUCCCUCUGAUGCUCGACGGCUCGGCGCGAGCGUGGCUGAACCAGUUGGCCCCCUCAAGCAUCUACAGUUGGGCAGAUCUGGCCCGAGUGUUCAUCAGGACCUUCGAAGGGACGUGCAAGCGCCCUGCUGGCCUUGUGGAGCUCCAGCACUGCGUCCAGAAGCAGAAUGAGCCCCUGCGUGACUUCAUCCAGCGCUGGACAACUCUCUAUCACACGGUGGAGAAUGUCACCGAGCAUCAAGUAGUCUGCGCCUCCAAGGCAGGCGUGCGGUACAGGGAUCUGUACCUGAAGUUCGGCCGAACAGGCGACAUCUCCAUGAGCAAGAUGAUGGAGAUAGCAACACGCUAUGCAAAUGGUGAAUAAGAGGACCGCAUCCGAAGUGGCAAGCACAAAACAGUCGCUGAUGGCGAUGGGGGCAACACUCGGAAGCAGAAGAAGAAAGCUCCGACCGCUCCGCAAGCAGAAGUUGCAGCCGUAACCAAUGCCAAGUUCAAGGGCAAAGGGGAGGCUCAGUUCACCCCCAAGAAGAAGUAGUUCAAUAACCCCAUCCUGGACCAGCCAUGUCCGGUUCAUACGAAGAUGGAUGAAGAAGGCAACCCCAUAUAUGCGAAGCAUACCACUCGACAGUGUCGCCUCCUGAUCCAGGGGUUCAGCGAAGGGCAACCGAGUGAGAAGGACCAUGAACAGGAUGAGGAGGAUAAGGAGGAUCCGUUCCCCCAAGUCCAUGCAACCUUGAUGAUCUUUGCUGACGUCGAGAGUAAGAGCCGACUGAAGCUGGUGAACAGAGAGGUGAACAUGGCCACCCCUACCAACCCCAAGUUCCUCAAAUGGUCUCAGACUGCGAUCACUUUCGACCAGUCGGAUCAUCCGGCGCAUGUACCCACCCCGGGGAGACAGGCUCUGGUCUUCGACCCAGUGGUAGAAGGAGUCCGACUGCGCAAAGUCCUCAUGGAUGGCGGCAGCGGCUUGAACAUCAUGUACGCCGACACACUCAAGGGGAUGGGCAUCCCGAUGUCCAAACUCAGCGAGAGCAGCAUGCAGUUCCAUGGAGUCGUCCCUGGACGGAAGGCCAAAUCACUCGGCCAGAUCGCGUUGGACGUCAUUUUCGGCUCCGACAAGAACUUCCGCAAGGAAAAGCUGACGUUCGAAGUGGUUGACUUCCAGAGCGCUUAUCACGCAAUUCUGGGUCGCCCAGCGUAUGCGCACUUCAUGGCCCGUCCAUGUUACGUAUACCUGAAGCUGAAGAUGCCAGGUCCGAAGGGUGUGAUCACCAUCACAGGCAAUCGGCAGCGGGCUGAAGAGUGUCUGCAGCAGGGAUCAAGAAUCACCGACCAGCAGAUGGCCGUCCUCGAGCUGGACGAGUACAAGAAAACAGUCGACCCCGCCGACCUGAUGCGCUUGAAGAAGCCAGCUUCAGAGUCUGCAUUUCAGUCGGCGGGAGAGACGAAGAAGGUCAGCAUCCACCCGACGGACGCCACUGCUACCCCGACGAACAUCUCCACCACCCUCGAUCCUAAAUAGGAAGCCGAGCUCACCCAAUUCCUCCGUGAGAACUGGGACAUCUUCGCAUGGAAACCCUCCGACAUGCCAGGUGUACCCAGGGAGUUGGCUGAGCACCGACUGCAAGUGGAUUCCACUGCUCGGCCUGUCCGAGAGCGCUUGCGCCGGUCCGCCGCGCACAAGAGGAAGGCAAUCGGGGAAGAGGUGGCCAAGCUGCUGGCAGCCAACUUCAUUCGCGAGGUUCACCACUCCGAGUGGCUCGCCAAUGUUGUCAUGGUGCCCAAGAAGGACAAGUCGCUCCGAAUGUGCAUCGACUUCAAGCAUCUCAAUAAGGUCUGUCCGAAAGACCAUUUUCCGCUCCCCCGCAUAGAUCAAAUUGUCGAUUCGACUGUGGGUUGCGAGCGUCUGUCAUUUCUUGAUGCCUACUCGGGCUAUCAUCAGAUCCGUCUGUAUGGUCCCGAUGAGUUAAAAACAGCCUUCAUCACCCCAUUCGGGUGCUUCUGCUACAUCACUAUGCUAUUCGGUUUGAAGAAUGCAGGAGCUACCUUUAUGCGCAUGAUCCAAAAAUGUCUCCUCGACCAGAUCGGUCAGAAUGUGGAGGCGUAUAUGGAUGAUAUCGUAGUCAAGUCACGCAAAGGUUCCGACCUGCUGACUGACUUGGCAAAAACAUUCGCCAACCUUCUAGGUACGAUAUCAAGCUCAACCCCGCCAAAUGUUCAUUCGGCAUUCCCAGCGGAAAGUUACUCGCUUUCUUCAUUUCCGAACGAGGGAUCGAUGUCAACCCCGAAAAGAUCGGGACCAUCGUACGAAUGGUGAGGCCGGUCAGAAAACACGAUGUUCAACGGCUCACAGGUUGCCUAGCGGCUUUGAGCAGGUUCAUCAGUCGACUCGGCGAAAAAGCACUUCCUCUGUACCGACUCAUGAAGAAAUCAGAUACUUUCGAGUGGACAGAUGAAGCCCAAGUCGCAUUCGACGACCUCAAAGUCCUACUUUCCACCCAGCCGGUUCUUACUGCUCCGCUUAGUAAAGAGCCCCUUCUUCUGUAUAUCGCGGCUACAAAUCAAGUCGUCAGUAAUGUUCUUACAGUCGAACGAGAAGAAGAAGGCAAAGCAUACAAAGUUCAACGGCCAGUGUACUACGUCUCCGAGGUCCUGACUCCUUCCAAGCAGAGGUAUCCCCACUAUCAAAAACUUAUCUACGGGAUUUACAUGACUGCGAAGAAGGUGGCCCAUUAUUUCCAAGACCACUCGGUGGCUGUCAUUUCUGAUGCUCCAUUGUCGGAAAUUCUCCACAAUCGAGACGCGUCAGGCCGAGUGGCGAAGUGGGCGAUGGAGAUGCUAUACUGUGACAUCAAGUUCGAGGCCAAGAAAGCUAUUAAGUCUCAAGCUCUGGCUGACUUCAUAGCAGAGUGGGUAGAUCAACAGCAACCGGCCCACAUCUACUCGGCCCAUUGGACAAUGUUCUUCGAUGGGUCCAAGAUGUUGAAUGGCUCUGGCGCUGGCGUUGUGAUCAUAUCGCCAAGGGGCGACAAGCUCAAGUACGUGCUACAAAUACACUUCGAUUCCUCCAACAACGAGGCAGAGUAUGAAGCUCUCCGCUACGGGUUGCGUAUGGCCAUCUCACUCGGCGUCCGUCGCCUGAUGGUCUACGACGAUUCGGAUUUGGUGCUCAAUCAAGUGAGGAAAGAGUGGGACGUCAGGAACCCCACCAUGACUACAUACUGCAAUGCAGUGAGGAAGCUUGAGAAGAAGUUUGAAGGUCUAGAACUUCACCAUGUUCCAAGACUGAAGAACCAAGCAGCUGAUGAGUUGGCAAAACUCGGAUCCACUCGGAGACCAGUCCCGAGUGACGUCUGCCUCGAGCACCUCCACCUUCCCUCAGUCAAAGAAGAUCCUUUCACAGAGGAGCCGGUACAACCAAAGAGUUCAACGGAUCCGACUGAAGUCGAUGUACCUGCUGUGGUUGACCUGGUCAUGGAGAUUCUUGCCGUCAUCCCCGAUUGGACUGUGUCGAUCAUUGCAUAUAUCCUGAGGCAGGAACUACCAGAAGACGAAGUCCAGGCCAGGCAGAUAAUCCGCAGGUCGAAGUCGUUCACUGUCAUUGAUGGCCAAUUGUACAAAGAAAGUAUCCCAGGCGUUCUUCAAUGAUGCAUCUCCCCAGAGGAGGGGCAGCUGAUUCUGGAGGAUAUUCACUCGGGGACCUGCGGUCAUCACGCUUCUUCAAGAGCAAUCGUCGCCAAGGCAUUCAGGGCUGGGUUCUUUUGGCUGCAGGCUAACGAGAUGGCUAAAGAUAUGGUUGACCGACGUGAGGGCUGCCAGUUCUACUCCAAUAAGUCCCACAAGCCGACGUCUGCGUUGAAGACGAUCCCUCUUGUGUGGUCGUUUGCUGUUUGGGGAUUAGAUACAGUCGGACCAUUCAAGACAGGCCAAGGUGGAUACACACAUCUGUUGGUGGCAGUCGACAAGUUCACGAAAUGGAUCGAAGCGAAGCCCAUCAAGAAGCUCGAUGCCUCAACAGCCGUCAAGUUUGUCAGGGACAUCAUCUUCAGAUUCGGUGUACCUCACAGCAUAAUCACGGACAACGGGACAAACUUUGACUCGGACAGAUUCAAAGAUUUCUGUACAAGCCAAGGCAUCCGAGUGGAUUUUGCUUCCGUAGCGCAUCCUCAGUCCAAUGGACAAGCAGAGCGGGCAAACGGACUUAUUUUGCAAGGUUUGAAGCCCCGACUCCUGCGAGAGAUAGGACAUGCCGCUGGCUCUUGGGUUAUCGAGCUACCUUCAGUGCUUUGGGGACUUCGCACAACCCCGAACAGAUCUACAGGGCGAUCACCGUUCUUCCUCGUUUAUGGAGCAAAAGCGGUCCUUCCGAGUGACUUGCUUCACAACGCGCCAUGAGUCGAACUCUUCUCCGAAGCCGAAGCAGAACAAGCAAGGCAAGACGGAGUGGAUCUUCUGGAGGAGGAGCGCGAGAUGGCACUAACUCUCUCAACCAUUUAUCAACAAAAUCUGCGGCGUUUUCAUGCACGCCACGUCAGAAGUCGCACGUUCCAAGCAGGCGACCUGGUGCUCCGAGUGGAUCAGCAAAGACCUCACAAGUUGGCUCCGGCCUGGGAAGGACCCUUCAUCAUCUCCAAGGUGCUAAACAAUGGAGCAUACAGACUCUACAACAUCGAGAGGGAGAUAGACGAGUCGCGUGCAUGGAACGGAGAUCUCCUAAAGCGCUUCUACACGUGACCGUCGACUGAAGCAAUGUAAAGAACAAGUAUUGGUGAAAUAAUAUAAAGCAGAUUGAGUUUUUUGCAGGUUCAAAGUUCUUCCACGGUCGCAGACUCCGGUCUCAAAAAAAACUUAGCAGCGAUCCAUAAUCGCCUAAGUAUUAACUUUCUCUGAGUGUGCACUUCACGUCACACUCGGGGGCUUAGCUGCGAUCCAGAAUCGCCUAAGUAUUAACUUUCUCCGAGUGUGCACUUAACGUCACACUCGGGGACUUAGCUGUGAUCCAGAAUCGCCUAAGUAUUAACUUUCUCCGAGUGUGCACUUAACGUCACACUCGAGGACUUAGCUCCGAUCCAGAAUCGCCUAAGUAUCAACCUUCUCCGAGUGUACACUUGACGUCACACUCGGAGACUUAGAGAAUUCCACGGACCCUCAAUGAGGCUCAUGCAGAUGUCAAAACAACUGACAUGUUCCGAAUGUUUGCCUUUGGCUUCACCAAGAAACGCCAAACAAAAACUCGAGUUAACAUUGCAACAGAAGAGCAAAAGAUUCGAUUCAAAGUUCAACCAAAGAUAGUGGCUCGGUGUGGAUCAAGCUUACCCACACCGAAACAAGAAUGUGACGGCCAACAGCAGUGGCCAAAGUUUCUUACAGAUAAACACUCGGCAUACCGAGGAUAAAAGUAUUUUUACGCAUCAUCUGGAUUAACACCAGGACUGGAGGGCUCUACAAACGUGUCCAGAUCAAUACCGUCGGCGAUGCAGGUGGCACUUUCAAGGAAGGUUUCCAUGAAGUCUUCGAAUCGAAGUUUCUUCGUGUUGGCAACCUUCAACGUCUUCAGUUUUUCCUCGCGCACCUCCUUGCAAUGGACUCGGACCAGGGACAGAGCAACAUCUGCACCACAACGGGCUGCCAAUUUUUUCCACGACUGCACUCGGUUCGGAAUCUCCUCUAGUCGGGUCAUCAGGUUCUCCAUCUCCUGCCGCGACUCAUCUUCUAGCCAAAGCUCCUUGUCGAUUCGGCCAACGACUUCUCUCAGUCGACCGAUGAAAGGACCAACUUUGCCCACGCGGAUGUGCGCACGGAGCAGAUCCCGAUUGGCGUCCUCGCCGAGUGGAACGUUCUCGAGAAUCGACCGCUCCACAUCAGCUGCUUCAGCUUCGGCGUCAAAGCAAAAAUCUGCGACAACAGGACAAGCACACAAUAAGUGCCGAGUGUGACGCGCAUAACACAAACACUCGGAAAAAGCAGGACUUACUAGCCAGACGCAUCAUCAUCUGCCGAGCCCAGUCGCUGACGUAUUUCUCCUAUGCUCUGCACCAUUUGUUCAGCACGUCCAUCUGACCCAUCAGAGCAGUCCUCUGUUUCCCCAUCUUUUCCACUUCCUCAGCCAACACCUUGUUCGCUUCCCGAGCCUGCUCCAAUGACUUCUCUCGUCCCUCCAGAGCAUCCUUCAUGCCAGCCAUUGCGAGCAUGGCCGCAUCAAGCUCAUCAGCGAGCUGAUUCCUCUCCGCCCUGAGAGUCUCAUAGGCUGUCCCCAUUUCACAAGUUUUCUGCCACCAAACACCAAGGGACAAUCAGAAAAUUCAACAAUAAAAGUCUAAGUUCUUCAGACCCCUGCCGACGCAAGCAGUCGACAGCGGUCUCGGGGACUACACCCAGUGGGUUCACUAACAGUGACCCCACUGGCAUGCAACUCAAGCAGGCCCGCCCUAUUGAGCUGCAUGUUACCACCUACGCCUACGAGGCCAAUACUACCCGACCUGAGUACAACUUACUCUCGGAGACUCUUAUAGUAAGUGCACUCCGAGUGCCACAACUGCUAGCAGUCGGUCAUGUUAUAUACAGACCUGACCAAAGCAAAGACAAUAUGUAUAAAGACAACUGCCGGUGCAAGCACUCGACAGAAGUCUCGGGGACUACACCCACUAGGUUCACUCAGAGUGAACCCAUUGCAAACAACAGCUGCUAUCCAAAAACACCCAGUGGGUUACAAGAGAAAAGUAAAUACUUACUAGCCCACUUACUCGGAUAUCAUCCCGCAGCUCCAAGCUCCGCUGGUACAAGGACGCGACGGAGUCGUAGGCCCUCUUGGCUUCCCCAGCCAUCAGCUCCGCCUGCACCAUGGCUCCCAUGGUCGCUCCCACCUGCUCCUCCGGGAGACGCUGGAUGUUGAACUCGACAUUCGACGAGCCUGGCAUCGUCAGAAGUUCCUGAGGCAUCCCGAGGUCCGUUCCAGUCGGCACCUCAACCACCAGCGCCGGUUCAGUCGGCGGCAGCGCCUCAGUCGGCGGCACGUCGGCGGCGAGAGCAGCAACAGACGGAGCAGCCUCAAGAACGGGCUCCGCAGCCCGUUCAAUUCUCCCCUAAUCGCCCUCGUCCACGCAAAUCGCCCUUGAUAGACCGAACGACGCAAGAUCUUAGAAAAAGAAAGAGGCAGAACCUAUGAUAGAACAAAACACUCAAAGUCACUACAACACACCUGGCUGGGACAAGACGACGUUGUCCGUGUCCAUGAGGUCAUCCUCCUGGCGCACCGGAGAGGUGGCAGAAGUAGCGACUCUGUCGAGUGAAAUCCAUUCGACCAAUGAACAGGGAUUCACUCGGAUAUCAGAAGAAAUUAGAAGAUCGAUACACUUACGUGGAGGUGACGGGGACAGCAACCCUCAUCCGCGGCAGAGCCUUCCGAGGUUUGGACCCACUCGGUUUGGCCGCCUUAGAAGACUGACCCGCAGGCUCAGCGGCAGCGUCCCUGGCCCUUUUGGUGCUCCGAGCGCUCGGGACCACCGGGGCAGUGGGCGGAGCACUCGAAGAUGCUAGAGGGGCCGAGGGAACGGCAGGCUCGUGUCGGCGCUUGGUCCGAUGCUCUGUUUGCGGAGGCGGCGAGUCCUGCUCUUCGUCUUCCUCCUCUUCCUUGCUAGUCUCUUCCUCCGACUCCCCGCUGUCGGAGACAUAUUCAGCGCUCUCCACGCUGCCCUCCUGGCUGCCUUCCUCCUCCUCGGCCGGGUUCCCGUUCGAGACGGGAGAAAACCAGUUGGUCCACUCCUGCAUAAAAUUCAGUCGGCGACAUCAGACGUCACACAGAGAUUCAAGCAAACGAUAAGAUUAAGACAGUUAGGAGCACUCGACAAGUGCCACUCACCUGAUUCGGAGGAGGAUUAUCCGUGCAGAAGGGCUUCACUCGCCGAGAUCCUUUGGGAUUCUCGCAGGGGCCUGUGAUCUGGAGCACCCACGAGGUCACCCUCUCCUCAGUCACGCCCACAACGUUGGUCCGAGUGGAAUCCUCGGGCCCCGUAUAAUGCCACAUGGCAUGGUCGCGAGCCUGCAGGGGUUGGAUACGCCGACCGAGGAAGACCUCCAGCAAGUCUAUGCCAGUGACCCCCCCCUCCUGACGACAUCUACGAGCGCCCCGACCAGAGGCUGGAUGUCGUUCUUCUCCGCCCUCGUGAGCGCGAGUUGCUUAGGUGGGGCGGGCCGAUCUAAGCUAAAGGGAUGCAGCCCUGUCGAAGCAUUCGGAUAGGCGAUAUCCUGGCAAUAGAACCACGUCGACUGCCAGUUCCUGACCGACUCACUUAGCUGAAGGGCAGGAUAACUGCUCCGACUCUUUUUCUGGAAACCUAGACCCCCACAGAGCUGGAGAAGAUGUGUUUUAUCAUCCGACUGGCUAAGUCGUUUGAUGGUCUGGGAUCUAGCAGAAAAUAUGUGCUUGAACAGCCCCCAAUGGGGAGGACGGCCAAUGAAACACUCGCACAGAACUAUAAAGGCAGAGAGAUGGGCAAUGGCGUUCGGGGGAAAGUGGUGAAGUUGUGCCCCGAAGUGAUUCAUGAUGCCCUUGAAGAAAGGAUGCAGGGGCAAGGAGAAACCUCGAUAGACGUGGCUGAGAAGCAAGACGCGCUCCCCCUCCAGGGGCGCCGGCUCGACCUCGUUCUCCGUCGGUAGCCUCCAAGUCUUGUGCACGAUCAUCCCGUGCUCGACCAGCUGCAGCAGAUCCCCCUCCGUCACCGUGGAGGGGAGGAAGUCGCCUUGAAUCCACCCCAUCGGCAGCGGCCGCUGCCGCCACUGAGCAGGAGCCGCCGCCUUCCCCUUCUUCUUCCUCGCCUCCAUCUUGCUCGUCUGACCCUUGGUCAUGGCGGAAACUGCGAGCCCGCGAGAGGAAGGGGGAGGGAAGAGUGUAGAGGCGCUGAAGGUGGCGAGAGAGACGGAGCAGGCGAAGGCAAGAGAUUCGGCAAGCGUAACGAAGAACCCUCGCCGCCGAGAUUUAAGUAGGGCUCCGACUGGGUCGCUGGCGGGUGGGCCCGAAACCUUAUCCCCCGACCCACCGCAGCGAUAUUAGUGGAGAGGUUGAAGGCGCAAGAAUCGAGGCGUCAGGCGCUACUCGAGCGCGAUGGCGUCAUCCCCGCUGAGCGCGCGGAACCCAAAAUUUGAGAUCCCGGAAAAUCCGUCGCUGUCAGUUGACCGGUCGCGUCAAAAGAUGCCGCAGAAGCACUCGGCUUCCGACAGUCUGUUUCACGAGUACUUCCACUCGGAUCGUUGGUUAGAAGAGAUAAAAUGGAUUGAGGCAAGCAACGCCCAAGCCAAACCCGCUCCAGUCGGAUCCAAACUUCAAGCAUCGCUUCGUCGUUUCAACCCCAAUCCAUUCGGGGACUAAUGAUGGGGUUAUAGUCCUAGGGUAGGGUCGUAGGCCUGUCAUGUAGGUCCUACCCAAGGACUACCCCUCACAAAGGACAAGGCCCUUAGUCAGUUCCGACUGAAUUAAGGAGUCCCCAUCAUCCAGUCGGUAACAGGUCCUCGACCAUCCAGUUGGAGAUUAACAUUCGGAGGAUAUCAAGCUAACCGACUGGAUACCACUCGGUACAUCGUAACCCCCCUGGAGGAAACGGUCGUACGUUUCCAGGUGCAUUUAUUAGCAUUUAGGGCGUACGUUACCUGUAAUGUACACAUUCAAUCCCCACUACUCCACCCCUGUACCGGAACCAUUGUGGAGGGGAGCGCACUCUAUAUAAGCCACCCUCCCCCACUGGUAGAGGGGUUAGCAACUCAUUGUAUUCUAUAUUUCCACUCGACAACAAGCUCCCUGAGCACUGAGACGUAGGGCUAUUACCUCCAUCGUAGAGGGGCCUGAACUCAUACAACCUCGCCGUAGCUAAGGCUCUGCCCAUCCUUUUCGUACCCUACACAUCUACUGUCAGGCUUAUACCCACAACAAUGGGCGUAAACUCGAGCCGCCCAUGAUGUCGGUCAUAUCCUGUAGCCAGUGGGAGAAGGUCCACAGGCCCGCGCACCCUCCCCCGCGCCCAGCCUCAUUGUAUCGAACCCCCUCCACAACCUUGCACAUUUCCCAGUAGAGAUGGGGUGCUACAUGUUGCUAAACAAAGGAGGGGAGGAUAUAGAAUCAUGGCCACCAAAUGGGAGGGCAGGAACCACACGUCUUGCACCUGUGCGCCUACAAAUCAAAUCGAACCAAAACAAAAGAACAACAUCAUCAGCCUACCAAAUCAAACCGAAACGGAUGAACCAACAGAGGAAGGAGAGGGAGAGAGAGAGGGCCAAGAGACCAUGCCGUCGAUGGACAGCGUGUGGCUACGGGGUGGAUGUGGGCGGUGCCUGACCUGCUCGAGAAACUGGGGAGGUCGAAGGUCGGGGUGGGGAGGCGGCGAUAGUGGGGAGGAGAGGUCACCAAAUGUGGAGAUGGGGCCCGCCUGAGGUGGAUCCGACGCUGGGAGCAGAGGAGACCGACGAUGGCGGUGCUGGCCGAUCUGGACGAGCCAUGGCUGCCGCCUGACCUGCUCUCGAGGACCUCGAUCUCCGACGCCAUGGCGGUAUCGGGCUCUCUGGACUGGGUCAGGGAGGGAGGGGAGGGGGGUUGGAGAUGCUGGACGCGGAGGUGGCCCGAGGGACCUUGUCGCGAGGGGCGUUUGUGACUCCGGUGGAGGGGGAGCCGCCAGGAGGGGGGAGCCGCGGUGGUGGUGGUGUGGCAGCGCGGGAAGGAGAGGCAGAGAGGUGUGGAUUGGGGAGAGAGAGUGAGGAUCGGGGGAGAGGGCAGAUGGGGGUUGGGGAGAUGGGACGCCAAUCGUUAGUGGUUGUCCUCUUUGUCGUCUGCCUGUGUAUCAAGCUGAAGGCAAAGAGGUCAACGCAGUAGACAAAGGGGGUGUGUGCAGACGGUAAAGAGGCCCCUGAUGGCAGCCUGUACCAUCUUUUCCACUAGCCCGUGCUUUGCCAUCAGCCCGGUCCAUUUUUGCCAUCCGUCAGCCAACAACAAAGAAUGCACUGAUGGCAAAGAUUAUCUUUUCCAUCAGCCAUCUCUUUGUCGUCUGUUUUUUGGCACCUAGCGACAAAGAGCUUCUUUGUCAUCUGCUUGCACACGGAAAAGAUCACGCAGAUGGCAAAAUCUCUGAUUCCUGUAGUGAUAAUACCUCACCCUUUUAAUAGUAGUGGCUUUCCUAUGGACUCAAAAGUGAUUUCCCACAAAUACAAUGUAGAGUCCUCUUGCUUGAAGCUUGAGCCAAUCAUAUUCCUUUCCUUGCAUCAAGGGGCUUCUCCUCACAAUCCUCUAGCCAAUGCAUCUUUGAACUGUUUUGAAAUAUACUUGGAUAAGAUCAUUAGUUCAAUGGUACAUACGUUGUUAUUAAUUACCAAAACCGCCUUAGGGAGCAAUUGUGCUUUCAAUCUCCCCCUUUUUGGUAAUUGGUGACAACAUAUAGAUCAAAGCGUCGACAAAAGAUAUAAUCAAUGAUUAGAAUUGUCGCUUUGAGAAGUAUGUGAAAAGCAAGAGCUCCCCCUGAAUUUGUGCAUUAUUUUAAUUUGCAUUUGAAUGCAAAUGCACAAACGAUUAGGAUCACGGGUCACUCUUCCAUGUCACAUACAUCUUGGUGGUGCGCAUAAAUGAUAUGAAUGAAUAGUAAUGCACCUAACACCAAACAAAUAAGUGAAUGGUCAUCAUGGAUAGCUCAAAAGUUUAACGCAGUAGCAUCAACAAUCACAACAUAUCAUCAAACACGAAAGUUUAAGUCAUCCAAAAGACCAAAAGUUUUGUAAAACCAAACGAGAGCAAAUAAAAUGCAAAGCUCUCUCUCUCUCUCGAAGCCCUAAUUGAUCUAUACACUUCUCUCCCUUUGGCAACAAGUUACCAAAAAAUUUAAAGGCUUAGAACUAAGCAUCACUGUGGGCUCGAUCUCCUCCGGUGGCAUUAGAUGGAGUGGACAAGAGAGCAUCGACGAAGGCUUCUGCAGAUGCCCCUGGAGCUGGAGGUGUAGACACUAGAGGUGCAGAAGCUGGAGCUGAAGCUGAAGGUGUUGAGGCUUGAGCUGAUGAAGUUGGUCUUGCUUCCGGCACUAGCACAACUGCUGACCUAGUUUGGGUCCUGAACUACGUAGUCGUGGGAAAAUGCGACUCUUCAUCAUCAUUGUUGGAAUGAGUAAUCUACACAUAAUCAACUUCAUGCUGGAGUUGCUGAACAAUGGUAGUCAAGUCCGUCACUUUGACAUCCAGGUCAUGGAAUUUUCUCUCCACGAUCCUCUCAAGGAUCUUCUAGUAAAGCAAGAUCUCUGAAAUUUUCUUCUCCGUCCCUUGGAUGAUGCUGACAAGAAAGGACAUCUUCUCCGCUAUAGUUAUGAGCUGUGGAGCUGGAGCAUCUCUAGCUGCCUCUGCCUCCGCUGCCUCUACUGCCUCGCGUGCUGAAGCUGAGUCAGGAUGGGUCGAGUCCAUCACAACUACAUUGUCCUCGAACUCUAGCUGAAGUGGCAGGUGCAGACGAUCAAUUUGAUAUGGAUGCUUGCCAAUCUUGGCAUUGAUGAGCAUCUGAAUAUAAGGUGCAUACCCACAAGAUCUCUUCUAAUCUGCAAUAGUCCUCCUGAUAGUCUCUACUAUCAAGUCCAUCACUGUGAACCGGGUGUGGGUGUCUAAGUGGUGUAGCAUGUUAAUGGAAUAACCUCUGAUCAUCUUGUCAUCUCCUGAUUUAGGCAUCAGAGUGUGUCUCAUAAUGGUGUUUGUUGUAGGUAUUCCUGCUUGCAGAAAAUAAACAGAGCCAAAUUGAUGUGUCUUCACAUAGUGAUGGGGCACUGGAUUGUACCUGUUUGCCAUUGUGUUGUGAUUCAUCUUGGAUUCUGAGUACACAUCCAAAUCUCCCUCUUGUGCCUUUGGGGCACCAAUGAUAGUGGCCCACUCAUCUAUAGUAGAGUCAUACAAGUGAUCUUCCAUCAUCCAUACUAUCCUUCCGUCGGGAUGAAAAUGAGAGUUUAAUAAAAUUGCAUGAUCAUCUCAUCGUUCCAGGCAGUUGUCUCUCUACCAACAAAAUCUUCAAUGUCGACUAGCCUGAAAUUCUCUCUCACAUGAGGAAAGUAGUCCUCGUUGGCCUUGAUGUAAUACCAAUCAACAUAUCGCAUGUCACUGACUGCGGGACUCUUGUCUAGCAACACUAUCUCAUAAAAAUCUUGUUGCUCCUUAGUGUGGAAACGAAGAUCAACAACAGUUCUUCUCUUGAUAGCAUAUGGAUCUAUAGUCCUCCACUGCCUCAAACCUUGACCCCUUCUCUUCUUCGUGUCCUCAGCAACAGGAUGAGCAGCAUUGUGCAAUUGCAAGUGAUCUCUUAGUUUCAUCGGCACAGAUACAUCUUGUUCCUCCUCUACAGUAAACUCUCUGGAUGCAGAACCUUUGUUCUUUUCUACUUCAGGUAUAUCAUUAGUAGUCCUCUUGGGAGCUACUAGCUUCUUAGGUGUUGAAGGUUUGGGUGCAUUCUUCUUUGGCAUAGCAUCUGACAUGAGCUCCUUCUUAUUAGCAGGAGGGGCAUCAGCUGGAAUCUCUUCCUCCUCUUCAUGAGCAGCUUCUACUGGGUCUUCAUACAUAUAAGUUGGCCUUCCAACAACAUGCACUACUCUCUUCCUGGCUCUUUUCUGACGUGGCUUCUUAGAUUGCCUGGAAGAAGUGCCUUCAAGGGUGAUCUUCAUCCCUUUCCGAGUUGCCUUUGGAGCUCUCACAUCAGUAGGUCUGUCAUACUCUUUUCUCAUUGUAUUUCCGAGAGUGACCUUCUCUUUCUGCUUCUCGAGAAUAAUCUCAUGUGGGAUAAAAUCAGCAUCUUCCUUAUCUGAAUUAAGCUUAUUCCUAGACCUGGCGGCUGCCUUGGGUAAUCCAUGAGAACUAGGUGUACCUGGGUCAGAAGCUGUCGUCUUUGGACUAGUGCAUGAAUCCAUCUCAGCAUUGGUCUCACUGAAGUUGUUCUAACUAUCCUCUGAUCCUCACAUACUGACAAAAAGCCAAGCAGACCCUGUGAAAAGAGUUAGAAGAGCUGGAGUGGAUGAGCAUCACAAAAAUCAGAAGUUUUUGAAAGUUUCAAUUCUGAAAAAGUUAGGUUUAUCUUUCUACAAAAAGGGAUAUCGGUUCCACCGAGACAAAAUUUUCAGAGCCACCGAGACUGACAUUCUCUUUAACAGAAACUUGGCAACCCUUUUCGGUUUCACCGAGAUACUGUCCCCAGUAGCCCUAAAACCAAAACUGGUAGGACCAAUUUUGCUGACUCGGUGACACCGAGAUUCGGUUUUGCGGACUGUUAAUCCUAAGUUCUUCUUCGUUCUCUAAUCUAUGGGAAAUUCUUUUGGAUGGAGUCAUUGCAAUCAUGGAUAGAUUUAAUCUAGCCCUAUUUGCGCAAGAUUCGAAGAUGGGAGCGCAAAGAGGGGUUGGAUCCAUACCCUAGUGCAGUGAAGGAUCUGCUAUAGCGACGACGACGAUGUUGGUUCCCGUCGACGACGAGGACUCCGGUGGUGAGGGCGCACGGGAGAAACAAGGCGAUGUCGUGAGGAUUAGGGCACGACAGCAAGGAGGUACGGGAGGCGAAGUUUGAAGGAUUAUUUCAAACGUCGGGUUCGCGGAGAAUAUAUACCCCCUCGCUGUCGGUGACACUAAGUUGGAAUUUUUGGUGCCAUCGAGUUCCAUAACUACCAGUUGACACGGAAACUCGGUGAGGCCGAAAAGAACCAAUCGACGGUACCGAGAAUGGAAAACCUCAUCAACCCUAGGCUUCGGUGGGACCGAGUUUUUGAGGUUGGUCAUAUCGAGAUGCUUUUGGGAGGUUUUGGAAGUCAUCCCUUGUCGAGAUGGAUCUUCCUAUUCGAUCCUAACGGCGUUGGAACAGGGCACUGUUUGUCGGAAUGGAACCGGGACAGCGCGAGGAAGGAGACGGUGGGAGGAGCCCGAACAGGGGCUCACCGACAUUGACGAGAGGGCCGGUGAAGCCGGAGUUCUCAGGAUGCGGAGGAGACGACGAGGAGGAGGACGAGGCGGUGACGGUGGCGCGGUUCCGGUGAGGAUGGUGCCGGCGAGGAGAGCUGGCCGGAGGGUCGCCGAGAGGGGCCCCGGUGAGGAGGGCCCCCCGGGGAUAGAGCCGCCAAGAGGGGUGAGGCCCGCGAGAUGGGGUUCCUGGGGCCGACGGGGUCGAGGUAGGGGUCGCCGGCGGGAGGAAACGUAGGGGGGUCAAUCUCUGGAGUAGGAGCCCGACGAGAGAUGGGGUUGGGGCCGAUGGAGAGAUGGGGCUCGGUCUCGGUGGGAGACCGAGGGAGGGGCUGCCGUGGGGAGUUGCCGUGGCGGGGAGUGGACGAGGAGGGAUCGAGGAUCUGAGGCUCUCGGUCCCUCGGCUCGGUGGGGGUAGGUGGGAUGGAGCGAGCGGGAAGGGGCUCGAUGGGGGGGUUCGGGUGGAUGGGGUCUCGUGGUGGGUAGCAGGGGGGCUCGAUAGGGAAGGAGCCCGGUAGGUGGGGCUCUGGUUUUGGGACCGAGAGAGGGAGAGGUGAGUUUCUCUCAUGGGGAUUAGGUGGGGAUCCUGGUGGGGGGCUGACCGAGAGAAGAGACCUCGGUCUCGUGGGUUGGUGGGGGUUGUUGGGUGUCUCGCGGGNNNNNNNNNNNNNNNNNNNNNNNNNNNNNNNNNNNNNNNNNNNNNNNNNNNNNNNNNNNNNNNNNNNNNNNNNNNNNNNNNNNNNNNNNNNNNNNNNNNNGUGUAAGUUGCGGGAUCUCGUAUUAUGGAACGAGUAAAGAGACUUGCCGGUAAACGAGAUUGAAAUAGGUAUGCGGAUACUGACGAUCGAAUCUCGGGCAAGUAACAUACCGAAGGACAAAGGGAAUGACAUACGGGAUUAUAUGAAUCCUUGACACUGAGGUUCAACCGAUAAGAUCUUCGGAGAAUAUGUAGGAUCCAAUAUGGGCAUCUAGGUCCCGCUAUUGGAUAUUGACCGAGGAGUCACUCGGGUCAUGUCUACAAAGUUCUCGAACCCGUAGGAUCUGCACACUUAAGGUUCGACGUGCUUUUAUGCGUAUUUGAGUUAUAUGGUUGGUUACCGAAUGUUGUUCGGAGUCCCGGAUGAGAUCCAGGACGUCACGAGGAGCUCCGGAAUGGUCCGGAGGUAAAGAUUGAUAUAUAGGAAGUCCUGUUUUGGUCACCGGAAAAGUUUCGAGCUCAUCGGUAGUGUACCGGGAGUGCCGGGAGGGGUGCCGGGGACCAUCGGGAGGGGUGUAACGCCCCAAGGGGUCUCAUGGGCUAUGGGAAGAGAUAAACCAGCCCCUAGUGGGCUGGAAUAAGUUCCCACUAAGGACCAUAAGGUUUGAGAAGGAAAAAACACAAGGUGGAAAGAGUUUCCAAGUGGGAAGGUGGAAUCCUACUCCAAGUAGGAUUGGAGUAGGACUCCUCCACCUCCAAUUUCGGCCAAACCUUGAGGGUUUGAGGCUGCCUCUUCCCUCCCCCUCCCUCCUAUAUAUACUGAGGUACUAGGGCUGAUUUGAGACAACUUUUGCCACGGCAGCCCGACCACAUACCUCCACGGUUUUACCUCUAGAUCGCGUUUCUGCGGAGCUCGGGCGGAGCCCUGCCAAGAUUAGAUCACCACCAACCUCCGGAGCACCGUCACGCUGCCGGAGAACUCAUCUACCUCUCCGUCUCUCUUGCUGGAUCAAGAAGGCCGAGAUCAUCGUCGAGCUGUACGUGUGCUGAACGCGGAGGUGCCGUCCGUUCGGCACUAGAUCGGAGCGGAUCGUGGGACGGAUCGCGGGACGGUUCGUGGGAUGGUUCGCGGGGCGGAUCGAGGGACGUGAGGACGUUCGACUACAUCAACCGCGUUCACUAAGACUUCUGCUGUGCGAUCUAUGAGGGUACGUAGAUCGGAAAUCCCCUCUCGUAGAUGGACAUCACCAUGAUAGGUCUUUGUGCGCGUAGGAAAAUUUUUGUUUCCCAUGCGACGUUCCCCAACAUUGGCAUCAUGAGCUAGGUUCAUGCGUAGAUGUCUUCUCGAGUAGAACACAAAAUUUUUUGUGGGUGGUGAUGUGUGUUUUGCUGCCCUCCUUAGUCUUUUCUUGAUUCCGCGGUAUUGUUGGAUCGAAGCGGCUCGGACCGACAUUACUCGUACGCUUACGAGAGAUUGGUUUCAUCGCUACGAGUAACUCCGUUGCUCAAAGAUGACCGGCGAGUGUCAGUUUCUCCAACUUUAGUUGAAUCGGAUUUGACCGAGGUGGUCCUUGGAUGAGGUUAAAUAGCAAUUCAUAUAUCUCCGUUGUGGUGUUUGCGUAAGUAAGAUGCGAUCCUACUAGAUACCCAUGGUCACCACGUAAAACAUGCAACAACAAUUAGAGGACGUCUAACUUGUUUUUGCACGGUAUGCUUGUGAUGUGAUAUGGCCAACGAUGUGAUGUGAUAUAUUGGAUGUAUGAGAUGAUCAUGUUGUAAUAGUUAAUAUCGACUUGCACGUCCAUGGUACGGCAACCGGCAGGAGCCAUAGGGUUGUCUUUAAACUAACAUUUGUGCUUGCAGAUGCGUUUACUAUAUUGCUAGGACGUAGCUUUAGUAGUAAUAGCAUGAGUAGCACGACAACCCCAAUGGCGACACGUUGAUGGAGAUCAUGGUGUGACGCCGGUGACAAGAAGAUCGUGCCGGUGCUUUGUGAUGGAGAUCAAGAAGCACAUGAUGAUGGCCAUAUCAUGUCACUUAUGAAUUGCAUGUGAUGUUAAUCCUUUAUGCACCUUAUCUUGCUUAGAAUGACGGUAGCAUUAUGAGGUGAUCUCUCACUAAAAUUUCAAGACAAAACUGUGUUCUCCCCGACUAUGCACCGUUGCGACAGUUCUUCGUUUCGAGACACCACGUGAUGACCGGGUGUGAUAGACUCAACGUUCACAUACAACGGGUGCAAAACAGUUGCACACGCGGAACACUCGGGUUAAGCAUGACGAGCCUAGCAUGUGCAGACAUGGCCUCGGAACACAUGAGACCGAAAGGUCGAGCAUGAAUCGUAUAAUUGAUAUGAUUAGCAUAGAGAUGCUUACCACUAAAACUAUUCUCGACUCACGUGAUGAUCGGACUGGAGAUAGUGGAUUUGGAUCAUGUACCACUCAAAUGACUAGAGAGAUGUACUUUUUGAGUGGGAGUUCUUAAGUAAUAUGAUUAAUUGAACUAAUUGUCAUGAACAUAGUCUAAUGGUCUUUGCGAAUUACGAUGUAGCUUGCGCUAUAGCUCUACUGUUUUUAUAUGUUCCUAGAGAAAAUUUAGUUGAAAGUUGAUAGUAGAAAACUUUGUAGACUGAGUCUGUAAAACUGAGGAUUGUCCUCGUUGCUGCGUAGAAGGCUUAUGUCCUUAAUGCACCACUCGGUGUGCUGCACCUCGAGCGUCGUCUGUAGAUGUUGUGAACAUCCGACAUACACGUUUCUGAUGACUACACGAUAGUUCAGUACAAAAUACUUAAUGGCUUAGAAGCAAGGCGCCGAAGACGUUUUGAAACGUCACAGAACAUAAGAGAUGUUCUAAAGAGAUGAAAUUGUGAUUUCAUGCUUGUGCCCUUGUUAAGAGGUAUGAGACCUCCGACAAGAUUAUUUGUCCACGAAGUAAAGGAGAAAAGCUCAAUCGUUGAGCGUGUGCUCAGAUUAUCUGAGUACGACAAUCGCUUGAAUCAAGUGGGAGUUGAUCUUCCAGAUAAGAUAGUGAUGGUUCUCCAAAGUCACUGCCACCAAGCUGUGAGAGCUUCGUGAUGAACUAUAACAUAUCAAGGAUAGAUACAAUGAUCCUUGAGCGAUUCGCGAUGUUUGACACUACGAAAGUAGAAAUCAAAAAGGAGCAUCAAUAGUUGAUGGUUAGUAAAACCACUAAGUUUCGAGAAAGGCAAGGGCUAGAAGGGAUACUUCGUGAAAUGGCAAAGCAGUUGCUGCACUAAUGAAGAGACCCGAGAUUAAACCCAAGCCCGGGACUAAGUUCUUUUGUUAUGAGGGGAACGGUCACUGAGGCGGAGCAACUCUAGAUACUUGGUAGAUAAGAAGGCUCGCAAAAGUCGAAAGAAGUAUAUUUGAUAUACAUGAUGUUGAUGUGUACUUUACUAGUACUCCUAGUAGCACGAGGGUAUUGGAUACCGGUUCGGUUGCUAAGUGAUUAGUAACACGAAAUGAAAGCUACGGCAUAAACGGAGACUAGCUAAAGGCGAGGUGACGAUACGUGUUGGAAGUGUUUCCAAGGUUGAUAUGAUCAAACAUCGCACACUCCCUCUACCAUCGGGAUUGGUGUUAAACCUAAAUAAUUGUUAUUUGGUGCUUGCGUUAAGCAUGAACAUGAUUGGAUCAUGUUUAUUGCAAUACGAUUAUUCAUUUAAAGAGAAUAAUGGCUACUCUAUUUGCUUGAAUAAUCACCUUCAAUGGUUUAUUGAAUCUCGAUCGUAGUGUUACACAUGUUCAUGAUAUUGGUGCCAAAAGAUACGAGGUAAUAAUGAUAGUACCACUUACUUGUGGCACUGUCGCUUGAGUCAUGUUCGUAUAAAUUGCAUGAAGAGGCUCCAUGCUGAUGGAUCUUUAUACUCACUUGAUUUUGAAUCACUGGUGACAUGCAAAUCAUACCACAUGAGCAAGGCCUUGUUUUCAUUGAGAUGAAACAAGAUAGUAACUUGUUGGAAGUGAUACUUUUUGAUGUAUGCAGUCCAAUGGGUGCUGAGGCAUGCAGUGGAUAUCAUUAUGUUCUUACUUCAAUGACGAUUUGAGUAGAUACAAGAGUAUUUACUUAAUGAAUCACAAGUCUGAAAUAUUGAAAAGUUCAAUUCUGUUUCAGGAGUGAAGUUCGUCGUAACAAGAGGAUAAACUGUCUACGAUAUGAUCAUAGAAAUGAAUAUCUGAGUUACGAGUUUUGGUACGCAGUUAAGACAAUGUGGAAAUUGUUUCGCAGUUCAUGCCACCUGGAACAUCAUAGUGUGAUGAUGUGUCUGAACGUCAUAGCCAUGCACUAUUUGGUAUGGUGCAUGCUAUGAUGUCUCUUAUCGAAUUAGCACUAUCGUUUAUGGGUUAUGCGUUAGAGACAACCGCAUUCACUUUAAAUAGGGCACCGCGUAUUUCCGUUGAGAUGACACAGUAUAGACUGAGGUUUAGAGAAAUCUAAACUGUCGUUUCUUGAAAGAUUGGGGCUUCGACACCUGUGUGAAAAAGUUUGAGUCGAAUAAGCUCAAACCCAAAGCGGAUAAAUGCAUCUUCAUAGGAUAUCCAAAACAGUUGGGUACAUCUCCUAUCUCAGAUCCGAAAGCAAAGUGUUUGUUUCUAGAAACGGAUCCUUUCUCGAGGAAAGGUUUCUCUCGAAAGAAUUGAGUGGGAGGGUGGUAGAACUUGAUGAGGUUAUUGAACCAUCACUUCAACCAGUGUGUAGCAGGGCACAGGAAGUUGUUCCCGUGGCGCCUACACCAAUUGAAGUGAAAGCUGAUGAUGGUGAUCAUCGAGCAUCGGAUCAAGUUACUACAAACCUCGUAGGUUGACAAGGUCGCGUACUACUGCAGAGUGGUACAGUAACCCUGUCUUGGAGGUCAUGUUGUUGAGCAACAGUGAACCUACGAGUUAUGGAGAAAGCAAUGGUGGGCCCGGAUUCCGACAAAUGGCUGGAAGCCAUGAAAUCCGAGAGAGGAUCCAUGUAUGAAAACAAAGUGUAGACUUUGGAAGAACUACUUGAUGGUCAUAGGACUAUUGAGUAAAUAUGGAUCUUUAAAAGGAAGACAGACGAUGAUGGUGAUAAGUCACUAUUAAGAAAAGCUCGACUUGUCGCAAAGAUGUUUCCGACAAGAUCAAACAGUUGACUAUGAUGAGACUUUCUCACUCGUAGCGAUGCUGAAAGUCUGUUAGAAUUAUGUUAGUAGUUGCUGCAUUAUUUAUGAAAUAUUGCACAUAGGAUGUCAAAACAUUGUUUCCUCGACGAUUUCCUUGAGCAAACAUUGUAUGUGAUACAACCAGGAGGUUUUGUCGAUCCUAAAGAUACUAGCAAGUAUGCAAGCUCCAGCGAUCCUUCAAUGGACUGGUGCAAGCAUCUCGGAGUUGGAAUAUACACUUUGAUGAGAUGAUCAAAGAUUUUGGGUUUGUACAAGGUUUAUGAGAAACUUGUAUUUCCAAAGAAGUGAGUGGGAGCACUAUAGAAUUUCUGAUAAGUAUAUGUGGUUGACAUAUUGUGGAUGAGAAGUAAUGUAGAAUUUCUGUAAAGCAUACAAGGUUGUUUGAAAGGAGUUUUCAAAGGAGUACCUGGAUUGCGCUACUUGAACGUUGAGCAUCAAAUAUCUAUGGAGAUAGAUCGAAAGCGCUUAAUGGAAGUUUCAACAAGAUGCAUGCCUUGACAAGUUUUUGAAGGAGUUCAAAAUAGAUCAGCAAAGAAGGAGUUCUUGGUUGCGUUGUGAGGUGUGAAUUUGAGUAAGACUCAAAACCCGACCCCGGCAGAAUAAAGAGAAUAGACGAAGGUCGUCUUCUAUGCCUUGGCCGUAGAAUCUGAAGUAUGCCAUGCUGGGUACCGCACCUGAUGUGUGCCUUGACUCAAAGUCUGUUGAGAGGUACAGAGAGUGAUCCAUGAUUGAAUCACUAGCAGCGGUCAAAAUUUAUCCUUAGUAACUGAUGGACUAAGGAAUUUUUCUCGAUUAUGGAGGUGGUUAAAGAGUUCGUCGUAAAGGUUUACGUCGAUGCAAGCUUUGACACUAAUCCGAAUAACUAUGAGUAGUGAAACGGAUUCGUAUAGUAGAGUAGAUAUUUGGAGUAUUUCCGAAUAGCACAUAGUAGCAGGAUCUAUAAGAUGACAUAAAGAUUUGUAAAGAACACACGGAUCUGAAAGUUUCAGAACCGUUGACUAAAACCUCUCUCACGAGCAAGACGUGAUCAGACCCCAUAACUAUAUGGGUGUUGGAUUCGUUGGAAUCACAUGGUGAUGUGAACUAGAUUAUUGACUCUAGUGCAAGUGGGAGACUGUUGGAAAUAUGCCCUAGAGGCAAUAAUAAAUUAGUUAUUAUUAUAUUUCUUUGUUCAUGAUAAUCGUUUAUUAUCCAUGCUAUAAUUGUAUUGAUUGGAAACACAGUGCAUGUGUGGAUACAUAGACAAAACACUGUCCCUAGUAAGCCUCUAGUUGACUAGCUCGUUGAUCAAAGAUGGUCAAGGUUUCCUGACCAUAGGCAAGUGUUGUCACUUGAUAACGGGAUCACAUCAUUAGGAGAAUCAUGUGAUGGACUAGACCCAAACUAAUAGACGUAGCAUGUUGAUCGUGUCAUUUUGUUGCUAUUGUUUUCUGCGUGUCAAGUAUUUGUUCCUAUGACCAUGAGAUCAUAUAACUCACUGACACUGAAGGAAUGCUUUGUGUGUAUCAAACGCCGCAACGUAACUGGGUGACUAUAAAGAUGCUCUACAGGUAUCUCCGAAGGUGUUCGUUGAGUUAGUAUGGAUCGAGACUGGGAUUUGUCACUCCGUGNNNNNNNNNNNNNNNNNNNNNNNNNNNNNNNNNNNNNNNNNNNNNNNNNNNNNNNNNNNNNNNNNNNNNNNNNNNNNNNNNNNNNNNNNNNNNNNNNNNNAUCUAGUGCCGAACAACGGCACCUCCGCGUUCAACACACGUGCAGCCCGGUGACGUCUCCCGCACCUUGAUCCAGCAAGGAGGAGGGAGAGGUUGGGGAAGAAGUCCAGCAACACGACAGCAUGGUGUCGGUGGAGACACGAGGUCUCCCGGCAGGNNNNNNNNNNNNNNNNNNNNNNNNNNNNNNNNNNNNNNNNNNNNNNNNNNNNNNNNNNNNNNNNNNNNNNNNNNNNNNNNNNNNNNNNNNNNNNNNNNNNNNNNNNNNNNNNNNNNNNNNNNNNNNNNNNNNNNNNNNNNNNNNNNNNNNNNNNNNNNNNNNNNNNNNNNNNNNNNNNNNNNNNNNNNNNNNNNNNNNNNNNNNNNNNNNNNNNNNNNNNNNNNNNNNNNNNNNNNNNNNNNNNNNNNNNNNNNNNNNNNNNNNNNNNNNNNNNNNNNNNNNNNNNNNNNNNNNNNNNNNNNNNNNNNNNNNNNNNNNNNNNNNNNNNNNNNNNNNNNNNNNNNNNNNNNNNNNNNNNNNNNNNNNNNNNNNNNNNNNNNNNNNNNNNNNNNNNNNNGGGGCGGCGGCCAGGGCACAGAGGAGGGGUGGCGCACCCCUCUGGUGGGCCUUAGGCCCACCUAUGCUAGGGUUCCCCCCUCCCCCCUUUCUCUGGUGCGCAUGGGCUGGGUGGGGGCGCACCAGCCCACUUAGGGGCUGGUUCCCUUCCCCACUUAGCCCAUCUAGCCUCCCGGGGUCGUUGCCCCCCUUCGGUGGUCCCAGCACGUUACCGAUGACGCCCGAAACACUUCCGGUGUCCAAAACCAUCCGUCCUAUAUAUCAAUCUUUACCUCCGGACCAUUCCGAAGCUCCUCGUGACGUCCGGGAUCUCAUCCGGGACUCCGAACAACUUUCGGUAACCUCGUACAACAAUUCCCUAUAACCCGAGCGUCAUCGAACCCUAAGUGUGUAGACCCUACGGGUUCGGGAGACAGGCAGACAUGACCGAGACACCUCUCUGGCCAAUAACCAUCAGCGGGUUCUGGAUACCCAUGGUGGCUCCCACUAGCUCCACGAUGAUCUCAUCGGAUGAACCACGAUGUCAAGGAUUCAAUCAAUCCCGUAUACGAUUCCCUUUGUCUGUCGGUAUAGAACUUGCCCGAGAUUCGAUCGUCGGUAUACCUAUACCUUGUUCAAUCUCGUUACCGGUAAGUCUCUUUACUCGUUCCAUAGCACGUCAUCGUGUGACCAACUCUUUAGUCACAUUGAGCUCAUGAUGAUGUUCUACCGAGUGGGCCCAGAGAUACCUCUCCGUCACACGGAGUGACAAAUCCCGAUCUCGAUUCGUGCCAACCCAACAGANNNNNNNNNNNNNNNNNNNNNNNNNNNNNNNNNNNNNNNNNNNNNNNNNNNNNNNNNNNNNNNNNNNNNNNNNNNNNNNNNNNNNNNNNNNNNNNNNNNNCUAGCGCCAAGGAAGGACUUUUGUUACCGUAGCAACCGACAUUGUCGAGCCGGCCCAGUACGCCCAUCCCGCCCAACAUCAGGUCAGGAGACACCAUGUUUUCGUUGGCUUCACGCAAGGAACCUCCCUACCAGAUGAGCCGGUAAUCCAGGAGAUCACCCCCGUCAACUCGGACGACGAGUCGUCCAUGGGCGAUACAUAUUCAAUCUACCCUGUUCACGAAGGGUAUCUCGGAGGGUUGCCGGAGGCAGUAUUCUUUGAGGAUGUUGUGGGUCCACACCGUCAAGUCACCAUCUAUAUGGCAGGGGCAGCGCCGCCUCAGCCAAACGCGGCAAGUGACAAUGGAGCUAGCGGAUCAGGGAGGGCUCCAGCUCAGGCCAUGGCAGAUCUGGCAGUGGAGACGGCAAAACUCGUGGCAAUCACUGUGACGGGGGAGAACCAGGAGACGGUCAACGCCGAGCUAACGAAAUUAAGGGAGGAGAUGGCCAAGAUCCAGCGCGACAUAGAAGAAGAAGUCGCCAGGAUGACGACACAGCAUGCCCAGAUCGCCGUGGAGACAGCGGCUGAACACUGAGGGAUGGCGGCUUGAGCAACAACAGCGUGCCUUUUAUGCGAUCCACCAGAGGAGGCAUCGCGGCCGCAUGCCGGCUGAUUUAAACCCAACUCGACUCUUCGACAGCCCGCAUACCCCUAGGAUGGAGCCCAAUCGGCCCUGGCAGGCCGCCCCAGGAGGCGAGCCGGCUCGGCCACCUCUUAACCCUCAGCCACCUCAGCCGAUGGAGGUUCAUGCACCCCGUUUCCAAACACCGCGGGGUCACUUCUCGAACCCCGUCGACAACAUGCUAGCAGCGACCCGCCGCCUUGAAUCCCUCCCCUUUCACGGAAACUCCCCCUCCGAAGUGGAGACAAGAAACGACAUCGAGAUGCUGAAGACUACGGUGGUGCAACAAGCGCAAUAUUCAUAUAGCCGCGAGCGGCUACACUCCACGCCCCAGGCGAGUCACACCAGGAGUCGCCAUGAUGACCCGCCCGCAGUGACCAGCGAGCAACGGCGUUUGCCGCCCAUCAAUCCGCCCGGGAUGCCCGACACACGGGCUCGGGAUCUUGUGGAUGCGGCACGAGCUGCCCGCAUGAUGGAAACAGCAGCCGCGGCGGGCCAGGGCUAUCCGUCUUACACCUUGCCUUCUCCAGCACCGGCCGAAAUAGGUGGCAGGCAUGUCGGGGUGCCUUGUCUAGCACUCGCCCUUCGCAACGAGCGUAUGCCAAAGGAUUUCAAAGGCCCACGGAAGGUACCCAAUUACACACCGGACCUCGAGCUAGGUGCAUGGGUCGAGAGUUACAAGCUCACGAUGGAUAUGCUCGAUGUGAGUAAGGCAGUCUGCGCUAAGUAUUUCACCAUGAUGCUUGAAGGAACAACACACACGUGGCUAAAGAACCUGCCGCCCAACUCCAUCAACACCUGGGCCGAGUUGAAAGAAUGCUUCGUAAAAAAAAUCAGAGGAACUUGCAAGCGCCCGAUGACCAUCAUCGACCUACAGCACUGUGUCCAGCGUCCGGAUGAGUCGGCCCAUCAUUGGACACGGUGAUUUGCAGAAGUGAUCCAUUCAUCGGAUGGUAUCUCGGCGUCUUAGGCCAUGCUAAUCCUGGAGAAAAAUUGUCACUACGAGCCUUUGGUGCUGAAGCUUGGGCGACUCAAGCGUAAGGUGCAGGACAUGGGAGAAUUGAUGGACACCCUGACCAGGUAUGCCGAGUCAAGCGACACUAAAGAUCCCGGGGAGGAUGAUGACAAAGUCAGCACUGCCAGGAGAGGCGAGUCGUCAAAAGGCCACCCUCAGUUCCAAGGGCGAGGUAACCACAACCCCGCGGGACAAGGUAAGAGGAGGCAGCAGGAAGGCAUCAUGGAUUUCGUCUCUAACACUAAUGCUGGCAACGGAAACCACCGACAGAAGAAAAGGGGCUUCAGCAGGAAGAAACCACGCAACUAUCACGAGAUGCUCAAAGGCCCUUGCCCAUAACACGCCACCGCGGAAGGUCCGUCCACCCACUCUUGGGAGGAUUGUUAUGUGAUGCAGGAGUUCCGCGCUGAGGCGCUCAGAAAUGGUCACGGGGGUAACCCAGGUGGACAUCAGGAACAAUUUGACACGACCGGGUCACACCGAAACCCGUUUGGUGGAUUUCCCAACCCAGGCUCGCAGGGCGGGUCGCAGAAUAAUGCUGGACAAUACCAGGUUCAGGACAGUCAGCGGUACAAUACGCGUGGGGUGUUUCAGCAACCACCUCCGCAAGGUGACCCCCAGCGGCAGGAUGACAAUGGCGGCUUCCAGAAUAAUCCUAAACAGCUAAAUAGCGGACAAUAUCAUGUGUUCACCACCAGCACUUGCAAAAGGGACUGUAAGGAGAAACACAGAACUUUCAGUGUGGUUGAGCCGGUGCUUCCCGGGUACCUCAAUUGGUCUGAGCAGCCCAUUGUCUGGAGUAGGGAGGAUCACCCGCCCCGGGUUGAUAAUCCUAGCGAUUUACCUUUGGUCGUGGCCCCCCAGGUUGGGGGCUAAACCCUUUCCAAGGUCCUCAUGGAUGGCGGGAGCAGCAUCAAUAUAUUAUAUUUCGACACCUUUCGGCGGAUGAAUUUCUGAGAGGGUGAUUUAAUGCCAUCCUCCACUGUCUUCCACGACAAUGUUCUCGGUAAGUCGGCAUACCCUGUUGGACG